GUAGCACAGAAAACGAAGACCUCCAACUCCCCAAGCCGAAUGGAAAUGCCCCCCGCCCAAGUUCUCGGACCCAAAUGGCAUCCCCCUCGCCGGAACCCGCCGCCGCCGCCGCCGCUGCUGUUGCCGAAACCAACGACCCCGUCCACAUCCGUCGCCUAGAGCUGGCUGACCACGAAAGGGGCUUCGUGGCCCUCCUUUCCCAGCUCUCCACCUGCCCAGAUCUCACCGCGUCCGAGUUUGCCGCGCGCUUCGCCGAGCUCGCGGCCCAAGGUGACGACCACGUUAUCCUCGUGGCCGAGGACCACUCUUCCGCUGCUACGGAGCGGCGGAUCCUCGCGACGGGGUGCCUCUUCGUGGAGCGCAAGUUCCUACGCGGCGGCGGAAAGGUGGGGCACGUGGAAGACGUGGUGGUCGACGCCGCCGCGCGCGGCAGGGAGCUCGGGCUCCGCGUCGUGCGCCGCCUCGUGGAGAACGCCAGGGAGGCCGGCUGCUACAAGGUCAUCCUCGACUGCACCCCCGAGCUGUGCGCCUACUACGCCAAGUGUGGGUUCGUGGAGAAGGGGGUUCAGAUGGCAGUCUACUUCUGAUCCACAGAGAUUCAUUUGUGAUGGUCGAGGGCAUACGAAUUGCUGACACUACACUCUGGAGAGUGGAGAUCCAUCCAUAAUUUCUGUCGCACAUCGCAUAUGUUAAUAAGACACGCCCCUGAGCUAUGGAGUCAGCAAAGCUUUAUGGAUCCGAACUGAAUGCCCCGUAACCGGUAUUCCACUGUGCAGAUGCUUAGGAGAAAUGGAGAAACCAAGUCAAGCAGACAAUACCAUUGAGGAUGCUUGCCCGGUUACCCUCGAUUUCUAAUAUGGCAUAGCGUAGGUUUGAGUUUGCUCGUGGUAUUAUGUCAACAUGGGCGCUUUUGGGGUUUCAACUGGCUAGAUUGCAGAUCAUCGACGUCAGGCAGCUUAAAUGUAAAUAAACAAAUGCAACGCUACUUCACUUUGCUCGAGAAUACUUCGAAUGAAGCUACCGAACAACUGGC